rnacentral:rRNA from 1 species
AGCGAACGCUGGCGGCAGGCCUAACACAUGCAAGUCGAACGAACCUUUCGGGGUUAGUGGCGGAUGGGUGAGGAACACGUGGGAACGUGCCUUUAGGUCUGGAAUAACUCAGGGAAACUUGUGCUAAUACGGAAUGUGACCUUCGGGGGAAAGAUUUAUCGCCUUUAGGGCGGCCGGCGUCUGAUUAGCUUGUUGGUUGAGGUAAUGGUGAACCCAGGCGACGGUCAGUAGUCGGUAUGAGAGAGAGGUCAGACACAUUGGGACUGGGCAACGGCCGAGACUCCUACAGAAGGCGGGAGUGGCGGAUCUUGCCCAAUGGGGUGAAGGCUGAAGCACCCAGGAUGGGUAAAUGAUGAAGGUCUGGAGGAUGGAAAGUUCUUUCACCGCGGACGGUAUUGACGGUACCCAGAGAAGAAGCCCCGGCUAACUUCGUG